rnacentral:tRNA from 1 species
GGGCCCAUAGCUCAGUUGGUUAGAGCAGCGGACUCAUAAUCCGAAGGUCGGGGGUUCAAGCCCCUCUGGGCCCA